GAAGGAGAGAAGUCCCCAGCCCGUAAGGAGGGACGAGGAACUUGGGGCACGGAAACUGCCGGUGGACCAGGGGAUGGGGCGGCUGGACGUGCGUCCUCUCCUCGGCCUUCAGAAGUGACCCCUGGGUUCCUGGGCAGCUCAAGAUGCAGACACGGGUGGGGAGAAGUGGAGACAGGCGGCACCGGGCUCCCCAAGGUCAGGGGCCUGUACAUCGCUCCUUCCCCAGAGCCCAGCCAGGGCCGGGGUGGUGGAGGUGGGAUAUGUACUUGUCAAACUGAUUUGAUAAGAAAGAUCUAGAGUGUGAUCCAGCCACAGAGACAGGGGCAGGCAGAGAGGCAGAGAAACCAAGAGAUGAGAAGAAACACACACUCAGGUAGAAAAACCUAGAGAGAGAACGGAAAUAGAGAAGGGGAGGGAGGAGAAAAGUCUAACAGAGCAGAGAUGGGGAAGAGAGAGAAAGAGAAGAUAGUGCCUUCAUCAAGUCCCAAAAUAGCAGCUGCUGGUGCCAGUGGCCUGCUCUGAGAUGGCCUUCGAGUUAGGAAUGAAUUCAGCAUUCUCUGAGCCCAGCCCUUGUGCGCGGGUGUAGCUGUGUGCUGGCCCCAGGCUGUCAGAAAAGGCCCAGCUGGAGUGGGUUGUGUGCCCAGUGUGUGGCUUCCCGCCCCGGCUCCCCACACCCCUCCGGCUCCCGCCCUGCACGCCCAGUCCAGGAUGCCACGGUGAGGUGGCAGCACCAGCUCUGGGGAGGCCAGGGUCGCUCCAGCUUGCCUGGGGAGAGGGGAAGAGGGACCCGGGGGUAUGGGGGACGGGAAGACAUUGCUCUGGGGACAUCCAGCUUUGGAGAAGAAGAGACGGCUGUUGGAGAGUUGGAUACUCAGUGCUGUUAUUUUAAAAAUGAGUUAUACUUCCAUGAAACUCUCUUAACAGGCUGAUAGUCUUCUCGCAUCCUCUCUUCCAGAUGCCAGCCCCAGUUGUGUGGCCCAAGCGCCAUAAUUUAAGGUGCCACCUCCUCUCCAACCCGAUCACCUAUUGCUUAGGAGGAAGGGGUGAUCCUGGUGUCUUACGGGGACGUGAUAUCUGCCCCAGCCAUGUAUAAACAUGGCCUGGCUGGGCUCCAUUUCCCCUAAGGAUAAAAUAAAAACACCUGAUAUUCUUCACACCAUGAGGAUUUUUUUUUAGAUGCUAAGAAUUUUCCAACAGCAUGAGAAAUAAGACUAACAUACCGGGAGAGAUAAGUUGAAUGACCACCACCCCACCUCCUUGAGCUGUCACAUGGAAAAUUCGAAACUUUUUCUAUAGACUUAUGCCACAUCUGUGCUUGUGAUGCUCAAUCAAUAUUGUGAUGCUCAAUGCUAUUAAAAUUUAACAUUAAAAUAUCAAUUGGCAAUUAAUAUUUGGAAAGUACCCUCAAACACAAAAGAAGGGAAGGGAAGGGAAUUGAUAUUUUUUGAGCGUGUAUUUAUAUGCUGGUCACUGGGCUUUAUAAACAUUUUUACUUGCGUUGACUUGUUUAAUCCUCAGAACAAGCCUUUGAUGUUUUUAUGACCAUUUCUGCUCCAGACCUGGGAACAGUGGCUUGGAGAGAUCAGGGCCAUCCGGUGGGGCAGCACAGCAUCCAUGACAGUGAUGCUGGCAGGGACGUGGCUUGGGCAGGUAUUCCUUAGGCUUGGUGAGGCCAACUGCAGGAUGCACAGAGACUUCGAUGGACAACACUUACCGUGGAUAAGGAUUCCCAGGGGGCAAGGGCCUUACAGAUUAUGGGGAAAAUGAAGGAAGCUGGGUUGAGGAGUUCUGGAGGUCUAAAUAUGUCCCUCUGCUCCCUGUCCCAAUAGUGCCAGACAGGAAAGAUGCCCAGGAUGGGCUUCUGGAAGGAGAAUCAAAUGAGAACAGAGUCAUGCCCUGGCCAACAUGUCCUCCAGAAAGACCUAGAGUUCCUAGCCCUGCAUGGCGCUAUGCCAAGUGGGAGGAAAAGAAGGAGAAAAUGGAUGAGACAAGUGAAGGACAUGUUGGUCCUUCCUCAAGGCACUCGCUCGGGCUGGGGGUGCAGCUUCAUAUGUGGGAGCAGGCAGGGAAAAGCACACGGUGUGCUCCUGGCUAUCUUGGAUGAUGCUGCCAGCUCUUGGGGUAAAUUAAUUCAGAAAAGCAAGCCAGCAAGGUGGGAAAGUCAAGGAGAGAUCCUCAGAACAGAAGAGGCUUAGCAUGAGCCUUGAAAAAUGCCAAGGAGUCAGGCAAGCAGGGAUCUGCAUUCCUGAAAUGUCCUCUCACUUCCUUGCCCUGUGACCUUGUAAGAGGGAGUAUUAGUACUUACCCAGGGUUGGUCCAUAUCCAGAUUCAGAGGUGACCCAGAGAAGCACCUAGCCCUCUCUCUUGCCUUUAUAAACUCUCUGCCUUCCUAGAGGCUCUGGACCUGUCCAUGGUGCUGAAUUUCAGGGUGCUUGUUCAAGCCUCGCCUUGCUUGGGAGGAUCAAGUCUGCAGGAUUUCAGUUUCUCCUUCUGCAAGAAAGUGACAAGGACCCAGGCUUUCCCAAGCCCUGAGUUGCCUCCUCCCUGCCCCAGCUCCCCAGUCCAGCUUCGUGGUAGCCUGCCUCUAUAAACCACGUGAGGACGCGAGAGCAAAGGACUGGGAGCCACAGGAGACGCUGCACCGUGGGCCACUUACUGAAUACCUACGUCACGGCAGUGCUUCACGGCGUUGCAUCUGAUCUUCACAACCACCCUGCAAAGCGGAGCUGCACUCCCAUUUUACAGAUGAAGACCCACACAGCAGGGAGGAGUGGCAGUAACAGAACUGAAAACCAAGUUCUGGUCCCCAGCUUUGCCACGUACAGUGUAGACUGUAGUCAGGUGUUUAACCUCUCUGAUCUCAGUUUCCUCAUCUGUAAAAUGGGAAGAAUAAUACCUCCUUCCCAUGGAUUUCA